CAACUUUUGGUGCAUUAGUGCCACGGUCUGAAAUGGAGUGCGGGCUGGCGGGGCGCUGGAGCCUAUCCCAGCUGACUUCGGGCGAAAGGCGGACUACACCCCGAACUGGUCGCCAGUCAGUCGCAGGGCACAUAUAGACACAGACGACCAUUCACACCGUCACUGAGUGGGAACUGAACCCACGCUGCCCGCACCAGUCAGGCACUCGAGUGCACCGCUGCACCAUCAGCGACUCCUAUUUAUUCCCAUCAGUAAUAAUAGAAAUUGAAAACCUAAGCCAGCAGAAUUUCUCAGUAGAGGCUACUUCCUGUCCUUUCAUCUGAUGAAUUCAUUAGCCUUGCCUGUUUAUAUUUAACACAUGAAUACAGAUGCUUGAAUCGUCUCUUUUUUUCAUAAAAAAUGAUGUAUUAUUUAAACCAGUGUGACCAAAUCUCAUUCUGGGUAUGAUGCAGUGAGAGGAAAAGUAUGUUAACCCUUUGGAAUGUCUUCAGUUUCUGCAUGAAAUGGCCAUCAAAUGUAGUUUAAGCUUCAUCUAACUAACAAAAACAAGCAGUCUGCUUAAACUAAUACCACGAAAAAGCAAAAAAAAAAACCCAAUCUUUUUUUGUAGCGCAAAACAUUCGUAGGACUGAGAGGAAGAAGUAAGUGAACAUUUUCGAUUUUUGGUUGACCCUCUUUUGGCAGCAAUGACCUCAACCAAACAUUUACUUGUAAUUGAGAGAUUUUUUUUUCCUUUGCGGGAAGACGCUUCGCUAUUUGCUUCGCAAACUCCGGCGGUUCGAGGGUGCUCUGGACUGUUGGUAUUUGUAUUUAUUUUUUGAAUGCUGCUUUUAAUUUAUUGUAUCGAAGAAAGUUUUCUGUCUGUUAUUUGGAAUUCCUGGAACAGUUCACGUGUCCUCUCUCGCUCUCUCUCUCUCUCAGGACUAAUUACCUCCUUGCCUGGUUCCAAUCAGCACUCAUCACAGCCUGCAUUUAAGCCUGCUGGUUCCAGUGUUCCAGCGCCAGAGUAUUGUCGCUCCAAUGCGCGCCCUCCUGUGUCUCCUGCCACGACGAAUUGCCGAGUUCCCUCACCUGCUGGCGCUCCAGUCUCCUACGGACGACCACCUUCACGCCUCGGAAAUACAGACGGUGCGCAAUCCCAAAUAAACCAUUAGCAACUGCUUCCUCCGCCUCC